rfam:Gossypium raimondii chromosome 9, whole genome shotgun sequence.
AAACCAUGCAUCGAGCAUUUUCUAGUUAAUUCCUUAAAAUGCUCUCAUGCUUCGUAUAAUGUCUCAUCUUUAGAUUGCUUGAACGAUGUAAUGUCAUUCCUCAACUU